rnacentral:lncRNA from 1 species
UCCUGAGAUAUUAAAAUCAAACAUGNUCUCUUUCUCUUUCCUUCGGUGAGUCUUUCUUUCUUUCUUUCUAUCUUUCUUUCUCUAUCUUUCUUUCUUUCUUUCUUUCUUUCUUUCUUUCGUUCUCUAUCUUUCUUUCUUUAUCUCUUUCUUUCCUUUCCUUUCCUUUCCUUUCCUUUCCUUUCCUUUCCUUUCCUUUCCUUUCCUUUCCUUUCCUUUCCUUUCCUUUCCUUUCCUUUCCUUUCCUUUCCUUUCCUUUCCUUUCCUUUCCUUUCCUUUCCUUUCCUUUCCUUUCCUUUCCUUUCCUUUCCUUUCCUUUCCUUUCCUUUCCUUUCUCUGUCUCUCUCUUUCUUUCUUUCGUUCGAUUUCUUCAUUUCUUCUGCUUUUCUCUUUCUCUUUCUUUCUUUCUUUCUUUCUUUUCCUUCCUUCCUUCAUUCCUUUCUUUUUCUUCCUUUCCUUUCCUUUCCUUUCCUUUCCUUUCCUUUCCUUUCCUUUCCUUUCCUUUCCUUUCCUUUCCUUUCCUUUCCUUUCCUUUCCUUUCCUUUCCUUUCCUUUCCUUUCCUUUCCUUUCCUUUCCUUAUCCUCCAGCAUCUAGCAAAAUGGUAUGCACACAGUACAUAUUUAAUAAAGGCUUAUUCAAAUGAAUUUUAUUAGAUCAUAACAUCUUAGAAGUAUAAGGGACCUAAAAAACAAACAACAACAAAAUAAUUCAUAGGCUCCAGCUCAGUAAUAUACAGAUUAUUUCUCGAUUGAUUAAUUCUUCUUCCAUUUAUACUCCCUUAACAUUCAUUACUUUUUUUUUCUCAACAUAUUCAUGUUCAUUUGUAGACCACAUUAACUCUAAGGCAUCCUUUUCUCAACUU